rnacentral:lncRNA from 1 species
GGUAUACUUGACCGAAAUUUCAUAUUCGAAUAUAUGAACAGUAAUUACAUACAGUUUGUGUUAUCGUGACAUUAACAAGUUCAUGUGUAACAGUACUAUGCAUUAGGUUUGAAAUGGUACGCACUUGAUACAUGUAUAGCUAGAGUUUUAUUAAUUAAUUACAGCAUUUUGUCCAUCUGGUACCGCUUCUGUUUAAUAGCGAGUCACAAAUUGAGUUGAUAUUUGGUGUGUUUAUAUUCAUUUAUCUAUUAUAGCUUUCCUUGAAAUGCUGUGUAAAUGAACCUAGUAUGACCAGAAUUACUGCCCUUGAUUUUGCUGAGUAAUUUUUACCGAUAAAUGUAUACAAACUUUAGUUUAUAUUUUAUACAAAUGUUUAUAUUUACCUGUAAAUGUUGUUAAGACAAAUUUAGCAUUAUCAAAGUUAUUGCCCUUGAUUUAGUUAGAAUAAUCAUUUUGCUGAUACCUUUGAUGUAGUGUAUCACUUUAAGAUACUAUAUAAUAAAAAUAAUAUUUCUAUUAACUUGAGGAAGCUUUUCUGGCAAUAGUCAGACUCUGCCUAGAGUAAUUGCCCUUUGAUUAACUUUUAUCAUAUCUCCCGAUUUUCUUUCAUACCCGUUUCAAAGGGGAUAUCUAUUUUAUGUAUUUACUUAUUUAUAAAUUUAGAACUAUAUAGCUUGCUUACUCAAGCAGAGCUAUAGAAGCAAUUAUAUUAUACACACAUGUAUGCAUUUCAGAAGGAAGUUUUAAAUACAGUAAACUUUUUAUCUAAUAACUGAAGCACUUGGCUAUUUAAGAACAGUUUUCAGAUUACUAGCUCAGGUUGUAGAUAAAACACUGAUCGAAAAAUGGCACUUGACGCAAGACAAUUGGUAUUACUCCUGGCACUUUUCACAGAUGUUGUAAUGACUGAUUGUUCUGUUGGCUGCAAAUCCUGUUCUGGUUCAACAUGCUUAAAAUGUGAUCCGUCAUAUCAUUUAUCCGGUGGCUUCUGUUCUCCAUGUCCGGAAGAGUGCACUAAUUGUAACGGAUAUGAUGACUGUACUUCGUGCAAACCAGGUAAAUGGGGUUCAGACAACCAGUGCCAGUUUACCUGUAGUAAUAAUUGUUAUAAUAAAGAAUGCCAUUAUGACACUGGCUAUUGCGUUCAAUGUAAACCUGGGCUGUACGGCCCUCAGUGUGAACAUUACUGUAGUAUCUGUACGGAUGAUCUUUGUGAUUUACGUAGAUGCACUCACGGAUGUAAACAAGGAUAUUACGAGUACAAAACUGAGACUGAAUAUACAUGUCAAAAAUGUCCGACAGAUUGUAGAAAUUGUAGUGACGCAAGCACCUGUCGUGUUUGCAAUGAUGGUUUCUAUUUGUAUCAGUUUCAUUCAAAUGGAAAUAUUUGUGUUCAUUGUGUAAGUUGUUCAUUAGGAUCUAGCUAACUGUUUAAAUUAUUGUGCUAUUCAAAACUGCAAUAAGUGCGAAGUACAUGAUGGCGAUUUAGUGUGCACAGAUUGCCCUGAAGGAUACAGAUUUAAUGGCAAAACAUGCAUACUAAAUACAACAAGUUGUUCUCAAGAAUGUUCCUCUUAUUGUAAUGACGAUGGAAUAUGCUUAGGAAGUUGCAAUGCUGGAUGGACUGGUGAAAGAUGUUCUGGAAAGUGUUCAGAUAAAUGUUUGACAUGCGACAAAAGUAAUAGUGGCAUUUGUCAACAGUGCAAAGGUGACUUUUACACUGUAAAUUGUAAUACGGCUUGCAAUCCGUCAUGUAUAACAGAAAAAGGUAAACGGACGUGUAGACUAGUUGAUGGAUAUUGUUUAAAUGGAUGUGAACACAAUUUCUGGGGUCCUGUUUGUGACCAGUCUUGCUCUAACGGUUGUAUUGAUAACAGUUUAACUUCGAUUUGCGAGAGAAACAACGGGAUAUGUAAACAUGGAUGUAAGGACGGAUACAGCGGAGACAAAUGCGAUAUAACAUUUACAAGGAAAAUGACGAUAGUGUCUAAAGCAUUAACAACAACUCAAAAACAAGUAUCUACACAGUGUGAUUGCAAAGAAAAUGUUGUCUGCAAAAGCAAUUUCGUUGAAGGUUUCUUUUCGGGAUUAGGAACUUCUGUAGUCGUUGCAGUUAUUACAGUGACACUAUUCCAAAUUAGACGAAGGCAUGUAGCAAAGAAGUUAAAAUCGCAGCAAGAUUCGAAGAAAACCAUCGAGAUGCCCACAUAUUAUAACGAGGAUAUCCGUCAUAUACAUUCAACACAAGAAGAGGCUAUCGGAACUAAUAACUACGAGAAACUCGGCGAUACCAGGAACACGGAUAAUGUUUACAAUGAUUUAGAAACGACAGCAGUGCAAUAAAGUGCCUUGUUUUGCGACAUGCGAAAACAAACUCUGUGACAACAGCACUUGCAUUUGAAGAAGCAAGCCACAUUGCUUACUUUAGGUCAAGUGCCCGCUCAUUUCUAAAAAAAUGUCCAGAGGAUCAACCGUGUCUUCCUUCACAAUCAAAAGCUAGAAAGUCGCCAUAUGACCUAUCUAUGUGUUGGUGUGAGGUUACACGCAACAAAGAUAUUGGCAAAGUACCAAAUAUUAGAAUAGAAGAGGAAAUUUGUCCCUCCCUUUUUUCUUUUCAUUUUUUUCAAUAUCAUUUUAUUUUUAAUACUAUCAAAUUUAAUAUCAUAUUUAAUAUUGUGUUUAACAUUUUCAAUAUAAUUAUGCAGUGUUAAAUGUUGUGCUUUAUAUUGUAUGUAUAAGUUUGUAUUAAAGAAGCAAGAAACACAGCUUCGACAUGUACUAGUAUAUAAUGAAAUUAAAACUCAACAUCUUUUUGAGCUUAGGUCUGUUCCGUAUCAUCUAUUUGAAAUCUCAGAUAUAAACAUAACAUUUUCCAAAGAAAAUUGUUUUCAUAUAGCUCAACUUAAGGUCUGUUUUUGUGUUAAAACGAAAUGGUAAUUUCGCCUAUAACAUGUGUUUAAAGAAUACAAUAAUCUCCUGAAAACGUAAAUAAUGUGAAAUGUAGUUUGGAAAAGAUUUCAAUAUCAGCCAAGAUGGCAUGCAAUUUCAUUAUUUCUUUUACUUCUGAAUACAUGUAGCCACCUUUAUUAGAGUAACUCGGACUUCGAUAUAUAUAAUAUGUCAAUGCCAGUCGAUAUAACAGUAACGGUGACAGAUCCUAACAUUCCGGCUAAAACUACAUGUCGUCCGAUUUCUGUUUAUGUAUAUUUGUAUCCGCCGACCAAACCAUGAAAUCACAUGUUUGCAUGUGUCAAACUGCAGGGAUAUUGCCGUAGUACAUUGAUAUCAAGAACGUUUAAAAGGGAUAUACUAAUAAAAGUGAAACUAAUCUAAAAUUGUCAAAGAAGCACUAUGUUUUAUAUCUUUUUGAUAAACAGAUCAAAGUCAAAUUAAUUACGGCUGACUGGUGUUUUUAGGGAUUUUUGUGUGUUUUUCAUGAUUCUGCUAACAUUGUAUAAUAUGUCAGAUAAAGAUAUCACAUUAUUAAGUGUUGAAUGAUAUAAGUCUAGCACGAAUCUUUGCGAAGUUCGAAUGUCUGUUUCACAAAGUCGUACGAAGUCAGUGCGAAUGUUAUUUCGUAAGAACUUUUUUACAGAAAGUGAUCGGACCUAUUUCUCUCCAUUUGAUAAGUGAUUUUUUGUGUACAUUAUAAAAUCUGUAAUCAAAACGAAAGAAUAAACUUUACAAGAGAUGUAGAAUAAACGGAAGAAACCGAGAGUUUGAUUCCCUUUCAUGAUAGCUCUCACGGUAAUGAUUAUAAAAUGUGAUCAAAGUUCUUAUUUUUGGGUGAAAAACUUAUCCGUAUUGCACAUUUAAGACAAAUCUAUAACAAGAGCAUCCCGCGAACAAGCGACGAUAAUACCUUGUAAAUUCUUCUCUUUUUUUUUUUUUUUUUUUUUUUGAAAUCAGACAAGCUAAAAUACGAUUUGUCCGACAACUUUGUUUGUCUAAUCAAAAACAAAGAAAUAGAAAAAAUGUUAUGAAACGUUAUAUGUUACGCAUCAUUAUAUAAGACCUUGCGUAAUAAAAUAUUUACAUGUCAUUACAGCAGUUCCAACAUUAUUAGAGAUUAAGUAAGAGCUCUGUUUUCCUAAGUGUGUUUCGAAUACGUGCUUGAGAUAGCUCCGCACAUUUGUUUAACCGCCAGUAAUGGCGUAACGUCAUUUAGAAAAACGUCUGGACACGAUCGGCAUCAGGAAAUGAAAAUCACUUCAUGUAUUGAGGGCAACGUGUAAGUAAGCAUACUGAUAUUGAAAUAUUUGACACGUUAAAAUAUUCCAAAUUUUCUCUUAAAAUCAGCUUGAAAUGUUGGUACCUCUUAAAUCAUGAGCAACUAUCUCAGAAACAAGCACGUUGACUUACACGUUAUAUUUUACAAUAUUAUAGACCAUAUGUGAAUUAAUAACUGUUUCAUUAAUAUAAAAUAAUACAUUGUAGGAACAUUUCUUUUCGCGAAAAUGUUCCAAUAGACUCUCAUUAUAAAAACUUGUGCGAGGUCUAAAUUUUUCAAAUGAGUGUACAAAACAAAAUCAAGCACACGAACAUAUUUUUUUUUCUUUCCCGUGUUUUCCGAGUAUAUUCUGAAGUUUUAAAAAAUCAGGGUUAAAUCAGAUUUUACAUUGUAGAAAAAAAAUUGAUCCGAAUGUGUAGAUCUACAUUAUGGACAGAGUGUCGCAUUCUAUAGAAAAAAAUGCAUUGCCAUUUGAAAAUAUUUAUAGGUCACUUCAUAACUGGUCACAGUUAAAGUGUUUAUAGUCGGCAGAAACUUAUUGAAUAGGCGGCAUACAUGUAUGUUUAGGUUAAGACAACUUUUAAUCAUCAGUUACAGUUUAAGCGACAAGGAAAGCACACAUGAACCUAUUAAAAAAUAUUUCAUGUAUAUAAGCGAUACGUACUGUAAGACGCUUUCUAACAAGGGUACGUUUCGCAAUUGACAGAAAGUAAAAUUAGACUGAUUCGGUGUCUCAUAUGUACAACGCACUUAAGUACUAAACCUAAGCAUUUUGACAAGUAGGAACUUCUCUAAAGCGUUAAGAUAGAUAAGUAAGAUAAAAAAAAUUUGGAUCGAUUGAUCCAAAGUUAACAUUUCCUUACUGUAAACCGAACAAAAUAGUGCAGAAAGUAGUUCCAUACCAUAGAUUAAGUCAACCAUCAAAAUAUAAUUAUUCUGGCACGACUGUAUUUUCAGCUGUCGAACGUCCAAAACAAGAAAUUCUUAACGUAUUUUUCGAUUUUUGUUAUAUACAUUUCUGUUUUGUAUUUCUGACUGCAGUGACAUAUUAAUGCGCGAAAACUAAGUCACCGACAAACCUACGAUGACAGCUUUGUUUACAGCACAGACUGUUAAAAGACGUUGUUUAAAGAUUACAGCUAGCCUAUAAGAGUCUUUUUUGUAGCGAUUUUGAUCGAUAAGACUUUACUGACCUGAAAAAAAACAACAGUCCGUAGCGAUUUUGAUCGAUAAGAUUUUAUUGACCUGAAAACAACAACAGUCCGAGGUAGCAAGGGAAACAGUUGUAGUGCGAUUAGUCUUUUAAACGUUACUUCCCUUUGUUUCAUUUACGUCCUUUGCAUACAUGUCAGAAAUACAUUUUUCCACGAAUUAAAAGAGGUUAAUAUCUCAUCCCAACUAUUCAGAUCAUCAGGCAGAUCAUACCAUUAUUGUACAGACAUGCUAAUUUAAUCUGUAAAUGCUCUAGACUCUGCUGUAGUUUAUUAAUAUCUGUUUAUGCAGGAUGAAGGCGUAAUUUCGCCCCAGUCAGUUCGUCCCCAAUUUUAAUGGAAUUGGUUAGAGAUCCGUUACAUAAUAUAUACAAUAAGUAACAUGUACGUAUUAUGUACUGUAUAGCAAGUGUAUAAAGUAAUUGCUAAUAAAAGUUAUGAUUAGUUGUUAUCACGAUU